GGAUAACCUACCCUUAGGACUGGGAUAACCCUGGGAAACUGGGGCUAAUACCGGAUAGGCAAUUAUUCCUGCAAUGGUUUUUUGUUUAAAUGUUUUUUCGCCUAAGGAUGGGUCUGCGGCCGAUUAGGUAGUUGGUUAGGUAAUGGCUUACCAAGCCGUUGAUCGGUACGGGUUGUGAGAGCAAGAGCCCGGAGAUGGAACCUGAGACAAGGUUCCAGGCCCUACGGGGUGCAGCAGGCGCGAAACCUCCGCAAUGUGAGAAAUCGCGACGGGGGGAUCCCAAGUGCCAUUCUUAACGGGAUGGCUUUUCAUUAGUGUAAAAAGCUUUUGGAAUAAGAGCUGGGCAAGACCGGUGCCAGCCGCCGCGGUAACACCGGCAGCUCUAGUGGUAGCAAUUUUUAUUGGGCCUAAAGCGUCCGUAGCCGGUUUAAUAAGUCUCUGGUGAAAUCCUGUAGCUUAACUGUGGGAAUUGCUGGAGAUACUAUUAGACUUGAGACCGGGAGAGGUUAGAGGUACUCCCAGGGUAGAGGUGAAAUUCUGUAAUCCUGGGAGGACCGCCUGUUGCGAAGGCGUCUAACUGGAACGGUUCUGACGGUGAGGGACGAAAGUUAGGGGCGCGAACCGGAUUAGAUACCCGGGUAGUCCUAACUGUAAACGAUGCGGACUUGGUGUUGGGGUGGCUUUGAGCUGCU
rnacentral:rRNA from 1 species